rnacentral:rRNA from 1 species
AUGAACGCUAGCUACAGGCUUAACACAUGCAAGUCGAGGGGCAGCAUGAUUGAAGCUUGCUUCAAUCGAUGGCGACCGGCGCACGGGUGAGUAACACGUAUCCAACCUGCCGAUAACUCGGGGAUAGCCUUUCGAAAGAAAGAUUAAUACCCGAUAGUAUAGUAUUUCCGCAUGGUUUCACUAUUAAAGAAUUUCGGUUAUCGAUGGGGAUGCGUUCCAUUAGAUAGUUGGCGGGGUAACGGCCCACCAAGUCAACGAUGGAUAGGGGUUCUGAGAGGAAGGUCCCCCACAUUGGAACUGAGACACGGUCCAAACUCCUACGGGAGGCAGCAGUGAGGAAUAUUGGUCAAUGGACGAGAGUCUGAACCAGCCAAGUAGCGUGAAGGAUGACUGCCCUAUGGGUUGUAAACUUCUUUUAUACGGGAAUAAAGUGGAGUAUGCAUACUCCUUUGUAUGUACCGUAUGAAUAAGGAUCGGCUAACUCCGUGCCAGCAGCCGCGGUAAUACGGAGGAUCCGAGCGUUAUCCGGAUUUAUUGGGUUUAAAGGGAGCGUAGGCGGGUGCUUAAGUCAGUUGUGAAAGUUUGCGGCUCAACCGUAAAAUUGCAGUUGAUACUGGGUACCUUGAGUGCAGCAUAGGUAGGCGGAAUUCGUGGUGUAGCGGUGAAAUGCUUAGAUAUCACGAAGAACUCCGAUUGCGAAGGCAGCUUACUGGACUGUAACUGACGCUGAUGCUCGAAAGUGUGGGUAUCAAACAGGAUUAGAUACCCUGGUAGUCCACACAGUAAACGAUGAAUACUCGCUGUUGGCGAUACACAGUCAGCGGCCAAGCGAAAGCAUUAAGUAUUCCACCUGGGGAGUACGCCGGCAACGGUGAAACUCAAAGGAAUUGACGGGGACCCGCACAAGCGGUGGAGCAUGUGGUUUAAUUCGAAGCAACGCGAAGAACCUUACCAGGUCUUGACAUCCUUUGACCACUCUAGAGAUAGAGCUUCCCCUUCGGGGGCAAAGUGACAGGUGGUGCAUGGUUGUCGUCAGCUCGUGCCGUGAGGUGUCGGCUUAAGUGCCAUAACGAGCGCAACCCUUAUCUAUAGUUACUAUCAGGUCAUGCUGAGGACUCUAUGGAGACUGCCGUCGUAAGAUGUGAGGAAGGUGGGGAUGACGUCAAAUCAGCACGGCCCUUACGUCCGGGGCUACACACGUGUUACAAUGGGGGGUACAGAAGGCAGCUACCUGGCGACAGGAUGCUAAUCCCUAAAACCUCUCUCAGUUCGGAUUGGAGUCUGCAACCCGACUCCAUGAAGCUGGAUUCGCUAGUAAUCGCGCAUCAGCCACGGCGCGGUGAAUACGUUCCCGGGCCUUGUACACACCGCCCGUCAAGCCAUGAAAGCCGGGGGUACCUGAAGUACGUAACCGCAAGGAGCGUCCUAGGGUAAAACUGGUGAUUGGGGCU